CUAUGAAGGUGAAAAAGUUCAUGGAUUAUAUGAGGGAGAAGGAACAGCAUGUUUUCAAGGGGGCAAUGUUUAUAAGGGCAUGUUUUCGGAGUGCCUCAUGCACGGACGAGGAACUUACACUUGGGCUGAUGGAGUUAAGUAUGAGGGCACCAUUUACUGCAUACAACAGGGAAGGUUCUUUUUGGUAUGAAGGUGACUUUGUGUACAAUGUAAAAAGUGGAUGGGGAAUAAGAUGGUAAGUUUUCCAGUUUGUCUGAUUCAACAAGAAUUUGAAUAUGUUUCUAUGGGAAACUUGGAGAUUUUCAAUUUCAUACGUCUGUAUUGAUGGCAUCCUUUCUCUGAGAAGGUCUGAGUGGUAUGGUGCCUUUUUGCUAGGGAGCAGUCCUCUCUUUGAAGUGUAGCCAGAAGACAUUCUCUUUUUGAAAGCCUUCUUUUCAAUAGCCUUCUAGUCUCGUUCUGAUUUAAAGAUAAGAAUCAUAAGGAGGGAGAAUUUGCUCAUCCUAAACAUAUAAUACAUAAAGCAGGAUUAGACUUGGAGGAAGGAGGCAUGAAAAUUGGAGGAAUGACGAUCAACAAUUUAAAACAUAGAGGGGACACCAUAAUACUAGUAGAAAAUAGCAGACAUGGGACGAUUGCAGAAGAAAGUCAAGGAAGAAAGUGCAAAAGCAGAUUUACAGUUGACCAUUCAAGGGAAUGAGUAACAGUGUUGUGUUUUGUUGGUUGCUGUUGUUUCAGUUCAUGUCUCUAGUUUAUGUGCUUUUAUGUGUAAACUCAAUAAAAAUAUUGGCCAAAAAGGUCUUUUUUGGAAUGCAACUCCUGGAAGCUCCUAGUUAGCAGGGGUUUAAUAUAGCCAACAUCAUUAAUAGCUAUUUAUAAACUCAGUCUCAUUAUCUUUGAAUGUUCCCACUCUCCUUUUAAAGCCAU